GGGGGUGUAGCUUAGAUGGUAGAGCACUCGCUUAGCAUGCGAGAGGUACAGGGAUCGAUACCCAUCUCCA
rnacentral:tRNA from 1 species